rnacentral:lncRNA from 1 species
GGACCCUGCAGCCGCAGAGAUGUUGAUGCCUAAGAAGAACCGGAUUGCCAUUUAUGAACUCCUUUUUAAGGAGGGAGUCAUGGUGGCCAAGAAGGAUGUCCACAUGCCUAAGCACCCGGAGCUGGCAGACAAGAAUGUGCCCAACCUUCAUGUCAUGAAGGCCAUGCAGUCUCUCAAGUCCCGAGGCUACGUGAAGGAACAGUUUGCCUGGAGACAUUUCUACUGGUACCUUACCAAUGAGGGUAUCCAGUAUCUCCGUGAUUACCUUCAUCUGCCCCCGGAGAUUGUGCCUGCCACCCUACGCCGUAGCCGUCCAGAGACUGGCAGGCCUCGGCCUAAAGGUAUGGUUCCCACACAAAUCCCUUCAGCUAUUUGAAGAUAGUUUCUUUUGUGUAAGGGACAAAAGCAUUCUUAGCUGAUGUCAGCUUUAGAGGGCUCUGGCCUGCAGGCAUUUGGUCAAGUGCUAGAACCUUUGUCCCAUGGCUUGGGACUUGGAAUAGAACUAGACUCAGUUCUUCAGGCCAUCCAUGAGAUGGCCUUAAGCACAGAUAGUCUGUCACUUUCUUCACCCACACCUGUACAAACAUCCAGAUACAUGUGGUAUAGAAUAUUGAGUAACUUUUCCCGCAGAGUGCGUUGUACUAUUCCCGAGAAGUCCAAAGCAAAGCCAUUUACCACCUCGAAAGAAACAAGAGUGUUGUAGUUUUCUUGCCAACAGGAGAAGAAAUUAGAAA